CCUACGGGAGGCAGCAGUAGGGAAUCUUCCGCAAUGGACGAAAGUCUGACGGAGCAACGCCGCGUGAGUGAUGAAGGCUUUCGGGUCGUAAAACUCUGUUGUUAGGGAAAGAACAAGUGCUAGUUGAAUAAGCUGGCACCUUGACGGUACCUAACCAGAAAGCCACGGCUAACUACGUGCCAGCAGCCGCGGUAAUACGUAGGUGGCAAGCGUUAUCCGGAAUUAUUGGGCGUAAAGCGCGCGCAGGUGGUUUCUUAAGUCUGAUGUGAAAGCCCACGGCUCAACCCGUGGAGGGUCAUUGGAAACUGGGAGACUUGAGUGCAGAAGAGGAAAGUGGAAUUCCAUGUGUAGCGGUGAAAUGCGUAGAGAUAUGGAGGAACACCAGUGGCGAAGGCGACUUUCUGGUCUGUAACUGACACUGAGGCGCGAAAGCGUGGGGAGCAAACAGGAUUAGAUACCCUGGUAGUCCACGCCGUAAACGAUGAGUGCUAAGUGUUAGAGGGUUUCCGCCCUUUAGUGCUGAAGUUAACGCAUUAAGCACUCCGCCUGGGGAGUACGGCCGCAAGGCUGAAACUCAAAGGAAUUGACGGGGGCCCGCCACAAAGGCGGGUGGAGCAUGGUGGUUUAAUUCGAAGCAACGCGAAGAACCUUAC
rnacentral:rRNA from 1 species